UGAAGUGAUGGCUUCUAUGCAUAAGCUCCCCAUCAUGUUGCUUCCUGUUGUUUUACUUUUUCUGCAAGGAUCAUAUGCAGCCAAGAAUGUGUCGGCCAGAAACGAUGAUUUAGUGUGCAACAGAGAAGAGGGUACCUGUCGUUAUCCUGAUGGCUGCACCUGCAACCCGUUAUUAGCAUACGGCGAACGGUUCGAAAACACAUACUUCUUCAACGCUCAAACCGGUCAGUGUGAAGGGAAUGGAUACGAAGACAACUGCAACGGAUUUGAUACACAAUCGCAAUGCGAGCAAACCUGUGUGAAUAACGGAGCAGGUCGUCGCUAGUCGCUUACGUUAUUACCAUUAACUUAAACAUCCGUGGUAAUAAAGUAGGU